rnacentral:rRNA from 1 species
UACGGAGGGUGCAAGCGUUAUCCGGAUUUACUGGGUUUAAAGGGUGUGUAGGCGGGUCUUUAAGUCAGUGGUGAAAUCUCCGAGCUCAACUUGGAAACUGCCAUUGAUACUAUUGAUCUUGAAUUCUGUUGAGGUGGGCGGAAUAAGUCAUGUAGCGGUGAAAUGCAUAGAUAUGACUUAGAACACCAAUUGCGAAGGCAGUUCACUAAAUUGUAACUGACGCUGAGGCACGAAAGCGUGGGGAUCAAACAGG